rnacentral:lncRNA from 1 species
AUGGCAUACUCCCCCUCAACCUGUCCAAGGCAGGCAGACCGCACUACAUCAGCAGCGACACAGGGACUGCAACUGCUUUCUCAGAGGAGUACCAGCUCAUGGACCGAUACGGACCGUCUGUCACCCAACUUCACACUCAGAAGCUGUGAUUUGAGUGAGCUGAUGAAGCUCAGGUGUUCCUGGACCCAUCAGAGGACAGAGACAGCUGCAGCAUCAGGACAGUCUGGGUAUCCAAAGGAAGACUGA